rnacentral:rRNA from 1 species
AUGAACGCUGGCGGCGUGCCUAAUCCAUGCAAGUCGCGCGAACAGAUAAGGAGCUUGCUCCUUUGACGUUAGCGGCGGACGGGUGAGUAACACGUGGGUAACCUACCUAUAAGACUGGGAUAACUUCGGGAAACCGGAGCUAAUACCGGAUAACAUUUGGAACCGCAUGGUUCUAAAGUGAAAGAUGGUUUUGCUAUCACUUAUAGAUGGACCCGCGCCGUAUUAGCUAGUUGGUAAGGUAACGGCUUACCAAGGCGACGAUACGUAGCCGACCUGAGAGGGUGAUCGGCCACACUGGAACUGAGACACGGUCCAGACUCCUACGGGAGGCAGCAGUAGGGAAUCUUCCGCAAUAGGCGAAAGCCUGACGGAGCAACGCCGCGUGAGUGAUGAAGGGUUUCGGCUCGUAAAACUCUGUUAUUAGGGAAGAACAAAUGUGUAAGUAACUGUGCACGUCUUGACGGUACCUAAUCAGAAAGCCACGGCUAACUACGUG